rnacentral:rRNA from 1 species
GACGAACGCUGGCGGCGUGCCUAAUACAUGCAAGUCGAGCGGAACUGGGGGAGCUUGCUCCUUCCAGUUUAGCGGCGGACGGGUGAGUAACACGUGGGCAACCUGCCCUGCAGAUCGGGAUAACUCCGGGAAACCGGUGCUAAUACCGAAUAGUUUGGCGCCUCUCCUGAGGCGCUACGGAAAGACGGUUUCGGCUGCCACUGCAGGAUGGGCCCGCGGCGCAUUAGCUAGUUGGUGGGGUAACGGCCCACCAAGGCGACGAUGCGUAGCCGACCUGAGAGGGGGACCGGCCACACUGGGACUGAGACACGGCCCAGACUCCUACGGGAGGCAGCAGUAGGGAAUCUUCCGCAAUGGACGCAAGUCUGACGGAGCAACGCCGCGUGAGUGACGAAGGUUUUCGGAUCGUAAAACUCUGUUGUGAGGGAAGAACACGUACCAACUAACUAUUGGUACCUUGACGGUACCUCGCCAGAAAGCCACGACUAACUACGUGCCAGCCGCCGCCGUAA